rnacentral:rRNA from 1 species
GACGAACGCUGGCGGCGUGCUUAACACAUGCAAGUCGAACGGUGAACCACUUCGGUGGGGAUCAGUGGCGAACGGGUGAGUAACACGUGGGCAACCUGCCCCCAGCUCUGGGAUAACUCCAAGAAAUUGGUGCUAAUACCGGAUGUGACCGCUGACCGCAUGGUCUGGUGGUGGAAAGAUUCAUCGGCUGGGGAUGGGCCCGCGGCCUAUCAGCUUGUUGGUGGGGUGAUGGCCUACCAAGGCGACGACGGGUAGCCGGCCUGAGAGGGUGACCGGCCACACUGGGACUGAGACACGGCCCAGACUCCUACGGGAGGCAGCAGUGGGGAAUAUUGCGCAAUGGGCGAAAGCCUGACGCAGCGACGCCGCGUGAGGGAUGACGGCCU